rnacentral:rRNA from 1 species
UGAGGAAUAUUGGACAAUGGAGGCAACUCUGAUCCAGCCAUGCCGCGUGCAGGAUGACUGCCCUAUGGGUUGUAAACUGCUUUUAUAUAGGAAGAAACACUCCCACGUGUGGGGGCUUGACGGUACUAUAUGAAUAAGGAUCGGCUAACUCCGUGCCAGCAGCCGCGGUAAUACGGAGGAUCCAAGCGUUAUCCGGAAUCAUUGGGUUUAAAGGGUCCGCAGGCGGCCUGUUAAGUCAGAGGUGAAAGCCAACAGCUCAACUGUUGAACGGCCUUUGAUACUGAUAGGCUUGAGUUAUUGUGAAGUGGUUAGAAUGUGUGGUGUAGCGGUGAAAUGCUUAGAUAUCACACAGAAUACCCAUUGCGAAGGCAGAUCACUAACAAUAUACUGACGCUCAUGGACGAAAGCGUGGGGAGCGAACGGGAUUAGAUACCCCGGUAGUCCACGCCGUAAACGAUGGAUACUAACUGUUCGACCUUCGGGUUGAGUGGUCAAGCGAAAGUGAUAAGUAUCCCACCUGGGGAGUACGCUCGCAAGAGUG